AAUUAGAAAGCGAAAUAACGCACUUAGUUUCGGCCUAAGCUCUGAGUCUAUCUCUCUAAUUU
rnacentral:tRNA from 1 species